AUGGAGGCCGCCACCCAGGUCUUGUCAAGAGCCCCGACCGUGGUCUACGGCCCCGAGGAUAUCGAGGCACAAUAAGUACCUGACUACGCGCGUCAGCCCCGAGGGCGGCAUCCUCAAGGUGCACCCACGACCACGUGCUCCACCUUCCAGACCCCCCGCCCCCGCAGGUGCUCCGGCUCCGGGUCGGCUGGGGAGGGACAACAGCUGCACGCUCACCGCUGCGGUCCUGCCCAACCCGCCGCGUCUGUCCUGGCCCACGCGCAGCGGCCGCAAGGGGGACAACUACUACGGCUCGCUGACUCAGGCGGGCACCGUGGGCCUGGGCUUGGACGCCGAGGCCCAGGAGGUGUUCGUGCCCUUCAGUGCGCUGCUGCCCAUGGUGGCGCCCAACGACCUCAUGUUUGAUGGCUGGGACAUCUCGUCGCUGAACCUCGCCGAGGCGAUGCGGGACGCAAAGGUGCUGGAUUGGGAGCUGCAGGAGCAACUGUGGCCGCACAUGGAAGCCCUGCGGCCUUGGCCUUCCGUCUACAUCCCUGAGUUCAUGGCGGACAACCUCAUGCCGGGCUCACGCCCGCAGCAGCGGGAGCAGAUCCGCAAGGACAUCCCAGACUUCCGGUCUAGCGCGGGGCUGGACAAAGUCCUCGUGCUGUGGACGGACAACACAGAGGCUUCUGUGAGGUGGUUCCGGGCCUCAACCACACGGCCGAGAACCUGCUGCGCCCCACUGAGCUCGGCCUGCAGGCGUCUCCCUCCACGCUCUUCGCCGUCGCCAGCAUCCUGGAGGGCUGUGCCUUCCUCAGUGGGUCCCCGAGAACACCCUGGUGCCCGGAGCUCUUGAGCUCGCGUGUCAGCGCUGGAUUUUCGUGGGCGGUGACGUCAAGCCUGGCCAGACCAAAGUCAAGCCCGUGCUCGUGGACUUCCUCAUCAGCUCUGGCCUCCAGACCAUGUCCUUCGUGAGUUACAACCACCUGGGAAACAACGACGGGCAGAACCUGUCGGCGCCUUGCAGUUCCGCUCUAAGGAGGUGUCCGAGAGCAACGUGGUGGACGACAUGCUGCAGAGCAACCCAGUGCUCUAUACGCCCGGGUAGGAGCCCGACCACUGCGUGGUCAAAUACCUGCCGUACAAGGGUGACAGGAAGCGCGCGCUGGGUGAGUAAACCUCGGAGCUAAUGCUGGGCGGGCCCAACACACUGGUGCUGCACUACAUUUGCUGCUGGCCGCACCCAUCACGCUAGACCUGCUGCUGCUGACCGAGCUGUGCCAUCGCAUAAGCUUCUGCGCUGACGCUGACCCGGAGCCGGACCUUCCUCGCCGUGCUGUCCCUGCUGAGCUUCCUAUUCAAGGCGCAGCGUGUUCCGCCGGGCAACCCGGUGAUCAAUGCGCUUUUCCGCCAACGCUGCUGCAUCCAGAAUAUCCUCAGGGCCUGCGUGGGGCUCCCGCCACAGAACCACGUGCUCCUGGAGCAUAAGAUGGAGCACCCAGGGCCCGACCUCAAGCAAGUCGGACCCGUGGCUGCCGCCUGCCCUGUGUCGAACAAGAAAGGACCGAAACCUGCUUCCACCACCGACAGCACCGGUGAUACCAAUGGGCACCAACAAGUGGAGGAACCCCAGAUGCCCACCACCUGA